CAACUUUGCAAACUACAUACCCUAAAGAGCAUGCAAAAAAGAAGGCAACCAACUCCCAUCUUAAAUCUUCUACUUUUCAGGGACUCUCCCAAGGUUGUUGAGUUGCCAUCCAAGGAAGUUAAAUAGGUAGGUACUGGACAUAGAUGAAGCUGAUGGAGAGACCUGUUCUUUUGGAAGACCAGCUCCAACUGCUUGCAGAAAGAUUUUUCUUCUUGACCUGUAUCAGAGUAGGAACGUUUAGAUUCUUUUGCUAUUGUGUAGAAAGAGUUGACAAGAAAAUUUAUAAAGUGAUAUGACACGGUUUAUUCACCUUAAGACAAUGCGGGGCCAUUAAAGCUGUCUUGCAGUCUGCAUUUAAUGCUGCAAGAAUAUUGUCCUGAAAGCUCAAAGUAUUUAAACUUCAUUGUUUUGGCUCAGUUCACCCACAGGAGUUACACUGGAAGAAAGAGAAGAAUGAGAAAGGCUUCCUGUUGUCCUAAGGAAGGUCUGAACAGGGGAGCUUGGACAAGCGAAGAAGACAAGCUUCUCUCAGACUACAUCUUGGCCCAUGGCCUUGGGAGAUGGAGAAGCCUGCCUGCCAAUGCCGGUAAGAGUAUUUGAUUCUGCAAUUCUAAGCCCAACAAUUUAAUAACAGCUGUGAGUGAGAAGCACAAAAUGGAGAUACUAUUUCCAUGAAGCAUGUCCAUGCAUGUUACAUGUAGGAUUUGGAUGACAAAUCUUAGUUUCAGAUUACAGAGAAAAAUAAGAGUAACAGAUACUGAAGCAGAUCUUUGAAGCUUCAGAUUAUGUCUUGUGUCCCUUUUACACUCAUCCAAUCUCUUGGAAACCUCAUGCAAACUAUCAGUCUUCCCAAUCCAGCAACCUAAAGCAGUCAAUGCUAAAAACUGUAAUUUCUUUUCUUUCACAUAUUUGCUGGAAAUUUUUUGUAUGCCACAAUCAAUUAACAGAGACUAGUCUGGAUCAACCUGAAGCAUUGUUUAAUAUUCAUGUUAAAGUUUCCAAAAUUGAGAAAUGUGUUUAAUGACAUGCUAGUACAUAUGGAAUAAUUUCUGACCAUCUCCAAUUUUCCCUAAGUUGCUGGAAUUGAGAAGGCAACCUCACAUUUGCCAAGACACAUAGUAAAUCUAAGAGCAAAUUUCAAAAAUUAUUUGACUCAAUCAAGGACAACCGUAUUGGUGUUAAAAGAUAAUGCCAGUGACAACACUGGUUUGAUAUUGCAGGAUUGAAUAGAUGUGGUAAGAGUUGCAGGUUGAGGUGGCUGAAUUAUCUUAGACCUGAUAUCAAGAAGGGGAAUAUCACCCAGGAAGAGGAGGACCUUAUCAUCAGGCUUCAUAAUCUACUUGGAAAUAGGUAAAAUUAAGGUCUCAAUGCUUUCUUCUUCUUACAAGGGUAGAAAGAAUACAAAUCACAAGCACAUAAUUUGGGUUGCACAUAAUGUUAUCACACUGCUUAGCAUAUAUUUAGCAGGACAGAAAAUGUUGACACUUGAGUGCAAAGGAAAAUUUUGGAGAAUAUAUGAACAAAUUUAGUGAAGUAGCAAAAUGGUCAAAUAUAAUGACAAGGAGAUGAGUGUUAUCGAUGUAAAGCAAUAAACAUCAAAAAAGCCAAAAUCCCAAUUUAUCAUUUCUAUAUCAGCCAUACAAAACCAGAAGUAUAGUAUGGCACAGCACACAAUUCAUAUGCAUAUUAUUGUAUUCUCUUAUAAAGUCCAGAAUCCAUUGAAUAUAGUGACACAGUGAGAAGCACAACUUGAGGUUUAAAAUAAGGUCACUAUAUAUUAAUUCAUAAUGUAAUCAUAAACAACGUAAGCUCCUAGGCCAGAGAAUACAUGCCAAAUGAUAGUGAUCCUCAAGCAGCAACAUUGAAAGGAAUUUUGUGAAAAGAAUUUCCACUGAAAUCAAUAAUUUAUUCAGUUUUAUAAGUCAACAAAUGCAUUAUAUUUUUCCUUCAAGCAGAUGGUCCUUGAUAGCAGGAAGAUUACCAGGGCGAACAGACAAUGAAAUAAAGAACUACUGGAAUACCUACCUCAGAAAAAAGGGCUUGCACAGCAGCCCAAGUCCUGCAUCAAAGAAUAGAGAAGUACAAACAGUUAAAGCAGUUGCAGAUAAACAAAAAGGUGUGGAAGUUAAUGUAAUAAGGACCAAGGCCAUACGAUGCACCAGAUCUCUUUUUGCUGAUGAAGUUCCUGCUAGUGGAAUGAAUAAUUCUGCAUAUUCUGUCCUACCAAGUGCUAUGUUUGAUUAUGACACCUCAGAUUUCAGUGGAAAUGACCCAGCACCUCAGGCUGCAAAAAGUGUUUGUUCUGAGGAGAACAUGCAAAAUUCAGUUUUCCCUCAGGCAGCUGAUGGUUUUUAUAGAAGUAGCGGUAGCUUCCAUGAUAGCUUUAGUGCUACUGCCUCCUCAAGCUACUUCAAUUAUACCAAAAUCUGUAGUACUGUUUUAGAAAAAAGUGAGGAGUUACAUCCUUUCAUGUGUGAUGAUGAGUGGGUUUCCUUGUUGAUGCAUCCAAACAUAUAGGAUGUUGUAUUUAUCUCCAAGAAAUAAUGGAAUUGAGGAGGUUGACAUUUAGUCAAUAAGAUGCUAAGUUAUUAUACAGCUUCAAGUUUCCUUGCCACUGCAUCUACUGCUUUUGAUGAUAAAAAAAAGUUGAAGAUAGUGGAGAUAUAUGAAUCAGUUCACAGUUGGGUGCUGCCAUCACACUAAUUUUUACCUGCAUUUUAUGUUCUCCGUGAUAAAAUAAGAUGGCAGAUGAUUGGCAUCAGAUUAAGAUAUUAAGCAUAUUCUUAAAAUGCAGAAGUUGAUAUUGAAGGUAGUUUGUUUGAUAUGAAGCAACUUGGUCCCAAUACCAAGUGGGCCUAAAGGCCCUAAACAAAGGAUUGAUCCUACAAACACAAAGGGUUAUGCCAGUUGAUACAAUCAGUAGAAAAUGCCACAAAAUAUUGUUCCUAAAUCUUAAACAGUGUGUUGAUUAUGACAUCACUGUGGUAACUAGAAACAUAUAUACACCAGAUACAGGCCUGUUGUGCAAAGAAAUAAGCUACACUUCAUUAAUAAUUUACACCAUAAACAUUGCAGCUGAAAAUUCAAAAGAUUGAAAAAAGGUAGCAGUAGAAUGAAGUAAAAGACUUUGCAUUGGACUAAUAUGCAACAUGUUUCUCUUGUACAGUCAGGGAGAAAAUCAUCAGGCACGGACAACCAUAACUGAAACAAGAGGAAAAUAUAGACCUAACUAUACGAAGACAUACCACAUAUCUUAUGUGAUUGAGGCGUGAUAGGGAAAAAAAAAGGGUGUUGUCAAAGAAAAAAAAUGGUUUAAGUGCCUAUCGAGAAAAACAAUUAACCAUGUUCACGAGUAGAUUUUCCCAGUAAAGCAAGAAUUAGCAUUGAUGGAGCUCUAGACACUCUUUUAGACAGAAGAAAAGUUGCACAACAAAGAAAACACGACUAAUGAUUCUCAAAAGCAAAUCCUGUUGUUGGUUAACAUUAUAUAGUUCCAAAAGUUUUUCUCAUCAAACAAUUAGCUUAAACAAGUAAAACUUACAGCCAUAUGCCCCCUUCACGUCCUUCGCG
rnacentral:lncRNA from 1 species